rnacentral:piRNA from 1 species
UUAGUGCCUUAAAUCUAAGGGGUUACCCUCC